GCCAGGUGUGGUGGCGUGUGCCUGUAGUCCCAGCGACUUGAGAGGCUGAGCCUGCCGGAUCGCUUGAGCCCAGGAAUUCUGGGCUACAGCGCACUAUGCCGAGUGGGCAUUCACGCUAACGCUGGUAUCAAUACAGUGACUCCCGGGGAGCAGUGGGACACCAGAUUGUCUAAGGAGGGGUGAGCCGUCCCAGGUCAGCGACGGAGCAGGUCAAAGCUCCCAUGCCGGUCAGUUCUUUUUCUUUUUUUCAGACUGUCCUGGUUUUGGCCAGGAUAGAGUUAACUUUC
rnacentral:SRP_RNA from 1 species